rnacentral:snoRNA from 1 species
UGCUUUUAAUCCCCCUCCCUGUUUAGGGCUCCCGGGAGCCAGGGGAGAUGCUGCCCCGGAAGCUGAAGCA